AGGACAAAUUGCAACCUGUACGGAACAGGAGGUUAAAGGUGCUGAUUCUCCAAGGAGGGAGAUUGCUAGUAAAGUGGCUUCAAUGGCGAACCCGAGCACAAGGAGAUGAGAAAUGAGGACAAAUUGCAACCUGUACGGAAAAGGUUAAAGGUGCUGAUUCUCCAAGGAGGGAGAUUGCUGGUAAAGCGGCUGGAAUGGCAAACACGAGUACAAGGAGAUGAGAAAUGAGGACAAAUUGCAACCUGUACGGAACAGAAGGUUAAAGGUGCUGAUUCUCCAAGGAGGGAGAUUGCUAGUAAAGCGGCUGCAAUGGUGAACCCGAGCACAAGGACAUGAGAAAUGAGAUCUGAGACUUUGGAACCAUUUGAAGAUGGCUUUUAUUAUAUUACAGAACAUUUUUCCUUUUGUGCAUUGGCAUCCUUCUGAUGCACUGAGAUGAUCUCCAAAGUUCUGAUGAAAACUGAGACCUCCAGGAAAAUCUACAGACAAGAUUUGGAACUAUCUUAUGAAUCAGUUGGAUCUUUGCUGGUCACCCAUCAUCUAUCAUGAGCCUAACUAACGAGAAAGCUAAUCAGAAGUGACCCAAAGAAGCAUAUCUAAAACAGCAUCUUAAUAUUUGGGUUUGUGCUGAAGUUCUUCAGGAUCACUAACAAUAAGAACUAACAUUGGGGCUUCCCUGGUGGCGCAGUGGUUGGGAGUCUGCCUGCUAAUGCAGGGGAUACGGGUUCGAGCCCUGGUCUGGGAGGAUCCCACGUGCCGCGGAGCAACUGGGCCCGUGAGCCACAACUGCUGAGCCUGCGCGUCUGGGGCCUGUGCUCCGCAACAAGAGAGGCCGCGAUGGUGAGAGGGCCGUGCACCGCGAUGAGGAGUGGCCCCCGCUUGCCACAACUAGAGAAAGCCCUAGCACCGAAACGAAGACCCAACAUAGCAAUCAAUCAAUCAAUCUUAAAAUGUGUAAAUUAUAAAUUUUAAAAAAAGAAAGAAAAAAGAACAUUAAUUGAAUAUUUAUCAUGUGCCAGGAAUAUAAUGAGGCAAAGUGAGAUUAAGCAAUUUAUAAUCAGAAACACAGUAAGUUUGAACAAGGGUUUAACCUGGCUGGGAAAUGGACCAAGCAGAAAGAUCCAGCUGCCAAGCUUUCACACUUGACCACAUGCUCCAGUCUACACCCUCAUGAACUGAAUGACCAGCACCAAGUGCCACCUUAUGCUUCUAUCAACCAUUUUCUUCAGUUCUGAGAGGAUCCACUACAAUCUAGUUAAGGAUUAAAUCUUACUUGUCAAGACUGCAGUGAUGAUAUCUUUCCCUUUUAAAUGUUUAUGAAGAGAUGGCAAUAAAACAUGAGAAUUUGGCUCACUUUUUCCAUUUCCAUAUAACAUUGGAACCCUUCCUACACAUCAAAUCACUUAGAGGGGUUUAAAAUAAAAGACUGAUGUCCAAGGGCUUCCCUGGUGGCGCAGUGGUUGAGAAUCUGCCUGCCAAUGCAGGGGACACGGGUUCGAGUCCUGGUCUGGGAAGAUCCCACAUGCCGCAGAGCAACUGGGCCCGUGAGCCACAACUACUGAGCCUGCGCGUCUGGAGCCUGUGCUCCGCAACAAGAGAGGCCGCGAUAGUGAGAGGCCCGCGCACCGCAAUGAAGAGUGGCCCCCGCUCGCCGUAACUAGAGAAAGCCCUCGCACAGAAACGAA